UCUCUUGAGCAUUGUUGCUUCUUUCUUUGGAGGUCGAUUGAAUCGUCAUGUAUCUUGUUCUUUUUUUAAAUCCUUGAAUUUUUGAGGUCUCGUCUCUAUAGUAGACCAAUUAGUUAACAUACCACCAAGCCAUUUUCUAUUUACAUAAUGACAUCGAGAUUUUGUAGCAGUUGAUGCUACUAAAUCAGUUGCUUGAUAUUUUGCACCGACUAUCAGGAAUUUUUUUCCCCUACCUGCUAUAUCAAACGAAAAAUCACAAGCUUCUGAUAAAGAAAAGGUGUGGACGAAGCAGAAGCGAGAAUGUUGGCUUGAGUAACAUAAACAUUGGUGAGAAUCCAAUUCCCCGAAAACCUAAGGGUUCCUCCGCAAGGUUCAUCCACGGAGGGUGAUUCAGGGCCUAAGAUCAGGCUGAAAGGUGUAGUUGAUGGACAACAAGUUAAUAUUCUUGUACUAAACCUUUUUGGUCUUGAGGGAUGGAGGAGGCUAGGUUAGCCAAAAGAUUGUUAUCGGUUCAAGGACGCAAGGUGACCCUACUUUUUUCAAGGUAAGAAGGGGUAGAUAAAAUGCCUCGAGCCAAUGUCCGAGUACCAAGCGCUACAGUGUUGAAGUAACCCAUGCCAUACUCCCAGGAAAAUCUCGAACGACCUUUAACAAAUGGUUACCUGUACCUGAAAUCAACACACGUAGCUAGGUAGAGAAUACCUAUGGGCGUGAGACAACUCUCUCUAAGGAACUCGACAAAAUAUCCCCAUAACUUUGGGAGAAGUGGUGCCUCCUCAGGAGGUCGCAUUCACUAGGCCCGAGUGAUUGUUUACCAAAAACACAGGUCUCUGCAAAGUCAUAAGACCAUGUAUGGGGGUUGACACCUGCCCAGUUUCAGAAGGUUAAGGAUGUUGGUGACCUGAUGACGGGGAAUCCAGCGACCGAAGCCCCAGUAAACGGUGGUCGUAACUAUAUUGUUCCUAAGGUAGCGAAAUUCCUUGUCGAGUAAGUUUUGACCCGCACGAAAGGCAUAAUGAUCUGGGCAUUGUCUCGGAGAGAGACUCAGUGAAAUCAACAUGUCUGUGAAGAUGUGGACUACCUGCACCUGGACAGAAAUACCUUAUGAAGCUUUGUUGUUCCCUGGGAUUGUCUUUGGGUUCUUCUUGCGCAUCUUAGAUGUAAGGUGAAGAAGGCUCCCUUCUAGGGGGUCCUGAGCCACCAGUGAGAUACCACUCUAGAAGAGUUAGAAUUCUAACCUUGUGUCAGGAUCUACGGGCCAAGGGACAAUCUCAGGUAGACAUUUUCUAUGGGGCAUAGGCCUCCCAAAAGGUAACAGAGGCGUGAAAAGGUUUCCUCGAGAUGGAUGAAAAUCGGCCCUCGAGUGCAAAGGCAGAAGGGAGCUUCACUGCAAGACCCACCCGUCGAGCAGGGACGAAAGUCGGCCUUAGUGAUCCGACAGUGCCGAGUGGAAGGGUUGUCGCUCAACGGAUAAAAUUUACUCUAGGGAUAACAGGUUGAUCUUCCCCAGGAGUUCACAUCGACGGGAAGGUUUGGCACCUCAAUGUCGGCUCUUCACCACCUGGGGCGGUAGUACAUUCCAAGGGUUGGGUUGCUCGCCCAUUAAAGAGGUACAUGAGUUGGGUUCAGAACGUCGUGUGACAGUUCAUUCCAUAUCCGGUGUGGGCAUUAGUUCAUUGAGAGG
rnacentral:rRNA from 1 species